AUUGAACACUGGCGGCAGGCCUAACACAUGCAAGUCGAACGAGUGGCGGACGGGUGAGUAAUGUCUGGGAGACUGCCUAAUGGAGAGGGAUAACGACUGGAAAGGGUAGCUAAUAACGCAUAACAUCAGAUGUGCCCAGAUGGGAUGAGAGAGUUGGUGGGGUAACGGCUCACCAAGGCGACGCUACCUAGCUGGUCUGAGAGGAUGACCAGCGUGACUGGGACGGAGAAACGUUCCAUACGCCUCCGGGAGGCAGCCGGGGGGAAUAGUGCUAAAUGGGCGCGAGUCUGAUGCAGCCAUGCCGCGUGUAUGAAGAAGGCCUUCGGGUCGUAAAGUACUUUCAGCGGGGAGGCGUUAUCCGCAGAGGAAGCGCCGGCUAAUUCCGUGCCAGCAGCCGCGGUAAUAC
rnacentral:rRNA from 1 species